rnacentral:rRNA from 1 species
GAUAUGACGCAGAACUCCGAUUGCGAAGGCAGCUUACUGGGAUGCAACUGACAUUGAGGCACGAAAGCGUGGGUAUCAAACAGGAUUAGAUACCCUGGUAGUCCACGCAGUAAACGAUGAAUACUAGCUGUCUGCGAUAUACAGUAGGCGGCACAGCGAAAGCGUUAAGUAUUCCACCUGGGGAGUACGUUCGCAAGAAUGAAACUCAAAAGGAAUUGACGGGGGCCCGCACAAGCGGAGGAACAUGUGGUUUAAUUCGAUGAUACGCGAGGAACCUUACCCGGGCUUGAAAUGCAGAAGACCGAAGUGGAAACACUUCUUCCACCAAUGGCUUCUGUGUAGGUGCUGCAUGGUUGUCGUCAGCUCGUGCCGUGAGGUGUCGGCUUAAGUGCCAUAACGAGCGCAACCCUUGUCGGUAGUUGCUAUCAGGUAAUGCUGGGGACUCUACCGAGACUGCCAUCGUAAGAUGCGAGGAAGGUGGGGAUGACGUCAAAUCAGCACGGCCCUUACGUCCGGGGCGACACACGUGUUACAAUGGGUGGUACAACGGGCAGCUACCGGGCGACCGGAUGCCAAUCUCUCAAAUCCACUCUCAGUUCGGAUCGAAGUCUGCAACCCGACUUCGUGAAGCUGGAUUCGCUAGUAAUCGCGCAUCAGCCACGGCGCGGUGAAUACGUUCCCGGGCCUUGUACACACCGCCUAGUCGAAGCCAUGGAAGCCGGGGGGACCUGAAGUACGUGACCGUCAAAGGAGCGUC